ACUUCCCACACCAUAUUAUGACAUGUCAGCUGUGCAGGCUGUGAAUGCAAGUGAAGCGUUAAAGCGAAAGCAAAAUGGAAGAAAGAGUCAUAAGACUGUUAUGGAUAAGGGCUUCCAUAAAUAAUAACCCUGGAGCAUGAUGACAGAAAUGACUCACGAGGCACCACAGGGCUCCAGAUGAG